AGCAGAGAUGCUUUGGUGCCUUCGGGAACUGUGAGACAGGUGCUGCAUGGCUGUCGUCAGCUCGUGUUGUGAAAUGUUGGGUUAAGUCCCGCAACGAGCGCAACCCUUAUCCUUUGUUGCCAGCGAUUCGGUCGGGAACUCAAAGGAGACUGCCAGUGAUAAACUGGAGGAAGGUGGGGAUGACGUCAAGUCAUCAUGGCCCUUACGAGUAGGGCUACACACUUGCUACAAUGGCAUAUACAAAGAGAAGCGACCUCGCGAGAGCAAGCGGACCUCAUAAAGUAUGUCGUAGUCCGGAUUGGAGUCUGCAACUCGACUCCAUGAAGUCGGAAUCGCUAGUAAUCGUGGAUCAGAAUGCCACGGUGAAUACGUUCCCGGGCCUUGUACACACCGCCCGUCACACCAUGGGAGUGGGUUGCAAAAGAAGUAGGUAGCUUAACUAGNGGGAGGGCGGGNUNCAGGAACNAGAAUACAAGAUCAGGGNCNAGGCGUANC
rnacentral:rRNA from 1 species